rnacentral:rRNA from 1 species
GACGAACGCUGGCGGCGUGCUUAACACAUGCAAGUCGAACGGUAAGGCCCUUCGGGGUACACGAGUGGCGAACGGGUGAGUAACACGUGGGUGAUCUGCCCUGCACUUCGGGAUAAGCCUGGGAAACUGGGUCUAAUACCGGAUAGGACCACUGCCUGCAUGGGUGGUGGUUGAAAGCUUUUGCGGUGUGGGAUGGGCCCGCGGCCUAUCAGCUUGUUGGUGGGGUGAUGGCCUACCAAGGCGACGACGGGUAGCCGGCCUGAGAGGGUGACCGGCCACACUGGGACUGAGAUACGGCCCAGACUCCUACGGGAGGCAGCGGUGGGGAAUAUUGCACAAUGGGCGCAAGCCUGAUGCAGCGACGCCGCGUGAGGGAUGACGGCCUUCGGGUUGUAAACCUCUUUCAGCACAGACGAAGCGCAAGUGACGGUAGGUGCAGAAGAAGGACCGGCCAACUACGUGCCAGCCGCCGCAGUAA